GAUGAAGAACGCAGCGAAAUGCGAUAAGUAAUGUGAAUUGCAGAAUUCAGUGAAUCAUCGAAUCUUUGAACGCACAUUGCGCCCCCUGGUAUUCCGGGGGGCAUGCCUGUUCGAGCGUCAUUUCAACCCUCAAGCUCUGCUUGGUAUUGAGUUCAUGUCAGCAAUGGCAGGCUCCAAAAUCAGUGGCGGCGCCGCUGGGUCCUGAACGUAGUAAUAUCUCUCGUUACAGGUGCUCGGCGUGCUUCUGCCAAAACCCCAAUUUUUCUAUGGUUGACCUCGGAUCAGGUAGGGAUACCCGCUGAACUUAAGCAUAUCAAUAAGCGGAGGA
rnacentral:misc_RNA from 1 species